UACGGAGGGUGCAAGCGUUGCUCGGAAUGACUGGGCGUAAAGGGCGCGUAGGCGGCUUGCACCGUCAGAUGUGAAAUUCCUGGGCUUAACCUGGGGGCUGCAUUUGAUACGUGUGGGCUUGAGUGCGGAAGAGGAGAAUGGAAUUCCUGGUGUAGCGGUGAAAUGCGCAGAUAUCAGGAAGAACACCCGUGGCUAAGGCGGUUCUCUAGUACGGUACUGACGCUGAGACGCGAAAGCGUGGGGAGCAAACAGG
rnacentral:rRNA from 1 species